rnacentral:rRNA from 1 species
UGGGGAAUUUUGGACAAUGGGCGAAAGCCUGAUCCAGCAAUGCCGCGUGUGUGAAGAAGGCCUUCGGGUUGUAAAGCACUUUUGUCCGGAAAGAAAUCCUUGGCUCUAAUACAGUCGGGGGAUGACGGUACCGGAAGAAUAAGCACCGGCUAACUACGUGCCAGCAGCCGCAGGUAAUACGGUAGGGUGCAAUGACGUUAAUCGGAAUUACUGGGCGUAAAGCGUGCGCAGGCGGUUUGCUAAGACCGAUGUGAAAUCCCCGGGCUCAACCUGGGAACUGCAUUGGUGACUGGCAGGCUAGAGUAUGGCAGAGGGGGGUAGAAUUCCACGUGUAGCAGUGAAAUGCGUAGAGAUGUGGAGGAAUACCGAUGGCGAAGGCAGCCCCCUGGGCCAAAUACUGACGCUCAUGCACGAAAAGCGUGGGGAGCAAAACAGGAUUAGAUACCCUGGUAGUCCACGCCCUAAAACGAUGUCAACUAGUUGUUGGGGAUUCAUUUCCUUAGUAACGUAGCUAACGCGUGAAGUUGACCGCCUGGGGAGUACGGUCGCAAAGAUUAAAAACUCAAAUGAAUUGACGGGGUCAUAGCUGUUUCCU